GGAGAAGUACCCAAGUCGGUGAAGGGGACGGUUUGCUAAACCGUUAGGUCGGGCUAUACCUGGCGCAAGGGUUCGAGUCCCUUCUUCUCCGCCA
rnacentral:tRNA from 1 species